CCCGCAUAGCGCCGCACCCUUCGCCGAGCAGAGCGCGCCUGGGAGCCGCUGUGCUACGCCGAGGAACUGAGCCUGCGCGCGCCGCCGCAGGUGGAGGGGUGGGGCGGGGUCAGCCAGGGGCGGAGUCUCCCCUGGGGCCGUAACCCUGCCCUUGACCCCAGGCCAGACCCAACCCGGACUCUGAGGGCUCGACUGAGCCACGGCGGCGCCUGCGCCCGCGCAACCCUCUGAUGCAGAAGGUGCCUAGCCGGCCUUAGGACACGUGCGCCGUCCGCAGCUCGGAGCCGGACAAGGGCAGUGAUAUUCCAGAGACCAAGAAUGACUAGGUGGGAAGUGCAGAGUUGAGAGCACUGGACUCGAGUCUAACAGAAUGGAUUUGAACACCGGCUCCAGCACUUACAAUUAGGGGAGCCUGGGGCAAGUUCUCCAGGAAGCUGAAGGCUUGGUGGCAGAAGUGGCAGCUGGCAGGGCAGAGGGACACCCAGAUCGGGCAGGAGCUGCAGCACUGGGAGGAGGAAGGACUAUGAGCUCAUCGAGUGCCAGGGCCUGUUUGAUGAAUAUCCAGGGAUGGAGGAGCAGUCGCUCAGCAGCAUGUGCCCUGAGUGGGCAUGAGUGAGGCCCCUGGGGGCCUGGCACAGCAGGGGAGGUGGCCCCGGGCCUGACACUCCCUGCCUGCUGGAGCUGCAGUUUGGGUUUAUCACCA